rnacentral:tRNA from 1 species
GCCCUGUAAGCAUAGAUGGCGAUGCGCCGGACCUGUAAUCCGGAUAAGUCAGUUCGAAUCUGACACGGGGCUCCA